rnacentral:rRNA from 1 species
UACGAGGGGGCUAGCGUUGCUCGGAAUCACUGGGCGUAAAGGGUGCGUAGGCGGGUUUUUAAGUCAGGGGUGAAAUCCUGGAGCUCAACUCCAGAACUGCCUUUGAUACUGAAGAUCUUGAGUCCGGGAGAGGUGAGUGGAACUGCGAGUGUAGAGGUGAAAUUCGUAGAUAUUCGCAAGAACACCAGUGGCGAAGGCGGCUCACUGGCCCGGUACUGACGCUGAGGCACGAAAGCGUGGGGAGCAAACAGG